AGAUGCGAUCAUACCAGCACUAAAGCACCGGAUCCCAUCAGAACUCCGAAGUUAAGCUUGCUUGGGCGAGAGUAGUACUAGGAUGGGUGACCUCCUGGGAAGUCCUCGUGUUGCAUUCC
rnacentral:rRNA from 1 species